rfam:Schistocephalus solidus strain NST_G2 genome assembly, scaffold: SSLN_scaffold0001204
GGGCUCGUAGCUCAGUUGGCUAGAGCGUUGGCUGUACUAAAGCCUUUCCACUGCUGGCAUGGGUUCGAAUCCCACCGAGGCCG